rnacentral:rRNA from 1 species
GAUGAACGCUGGCGGCGUGCCUAAUACAUGCAAGUCGAGCGAACAGACGAGGAGCUUGCUCCUCUGACGUUAGCGGCGGACGGGUGAGUAACACGUGGAUAACCUACUUAUAAGACUGGUAUAACUUCGGGAAACCGGAGCUAAUACCGGAUAAUAUAUUGAACCGUAUGGUUCAAUAGUGAAAGACGGUUUUGCUGUAACUUAUAGAUGCUUCCGCGCCGCAUUAGCUAGUUGGUAAGGUAACGGCUUACCAAGGCAACGAUGCGUAGCCGACCUGAGAGGGUGAUCGGCCACACUGGAACGGAGACACGGUCCAGACUCCUACGGGAGGCAGCAGUAGGGAAUCUUCCGCAAUGGGCGAAAGCUUGACGGAGCAACGCCGCGUGAGUGAUGAAGGUCUUCGGAUCGUAAAACUCUGUUAUUAGGGAAGAACAAAUGUGUAAGUAACUAUGCACGUCUUGACGGUACCUAAUCAGAAAGCCACGGCUAACUACGUG